rnacentral:tRNA from 1 species
AAUGCUAUAGUUUAUAAAAAAAAAAAUUUUAAAUUGCAAAUUUAAAGAUAAGACUUUCUUUAGCAUUU